rnacentral:lncRNA from 1 species
AUGGGCAACAAGAACAGAAGGAGAGAGAGAGAAAGAGAGGACAUCACCGAGGCAACAAGAACAGAAGGAGAGAGGAGAGAAAGAGAGGACAUCACCGAGGGCAACAAGAACAGAAGGAGAGAGGAGAGAAAGAGAGGACAUCACCGAGGCAACAAGAACAGAAGGAGAGAGAGAGAAAGAGAGGACAUCACCGAGGCAACAAGAACAGAAGGAGAGAGAGAGAAAGAGAGGACAUCACCGAGGCAACAAGAACAGAAGGAGAGAGAGAGAAAGAGAGGACAUCACCGAGGCAACAAGAACAGAAGGAGAGAGGAGAGAAAGAGAGGACAUCACCGAGGCAACAAGAACAGAAGGAGAGAGAGAGAGAAAGAGAGGACAUCACCGAGGCAACAAGAACAGAAGGAGAGAGAGAGAGAAAGAGAGGACAUCACCGAGGCAACAAGAACAGAAGAGAGAGAGAGAGAAAGAGAGGACAUCACCGAGGCAACAAGAACAGAAGGAGAGAGAGAGAAAGAGAGGGACAUCACCGAGGCAACAAGAACAGAAGGAGAGACAAGGGAGAAGAGAGGGCAUCACCGAGGCAACAAGAACAGAAGGAGAGAGGAGAGAAAGAGAGGACAUCACCGAGGCAACAAGAACAGAAGGAGAGACAAGGAGAAGAGAGGGCAUCACCGAGGCAACAAGAACAGAAGGAGAGAGGAGAGAAAGAGAGGACAUCACCGAGGCAACAAGAACAGAAGGAGAGACAAGGGGAAGAGAGGGCAUCACCGAGGCAACAAGAACAGAAGGAGAGAGGAGAGAAAGAGAGGACAUCACCGAGGCAACAAGAACAGAAGGAGAGACAAGAGAAAGAGAGGACAUCACCGAGGCAACAAGAACAGAAGGAGAGACAAGGGGAAGAGAGGGCAUCACCUAGGCAACAAGAACAGAAGGAGAGACAAGAGAAAGAGAGGACAUCACCGAGGCAACAAGAACAGAGGGAGAGACAAGGGGAAGAGAGGACAUCACCGAGGCAACAAGAACAGAAGGAGAGACAAGGGGAAGAGAGGACAUCACCGAGGCAACAAGAACAGAAGGAGAGACAAGGGGAAGAGAGGACAUCACCGAGGCAACAAGAACAGAAGGAGAGACAAAGGGAAGAGAGGACAUCACCGAGGCAACAAGAACAGAAGGAGAGACAAGGGGAAGAGAGGACAUCACCGAGGCAACAAGAACAGAAGGAGAGACAAGGGGAAGAGAGGACAUCACCGAGGCAACAAGAAGAACCAGAGAAUAAGUAAACAGGCAAUAUAA